UUUAUGCUUUGCUCAUUGAUAAUUAUGAAAAUCUUUUGGAGAGGAGAAAAAUAUUUCCUGAAAAAUUUCAACAGACAUCUUAUCUUCACAUAAUUAAUACACUACAGGAAUAAAAUUCCAGUGUAAAACGUAAACAUGUUUUUAUUUUGGCUUUCCGUGUAAUUUACAAUUAUGCAUCUAUCACAUAAUAAAUGACAGACAAUGUUCGUAAAAGAACCCAGAGGCCUCGUGUAGCCCAGGCGGGAAAUGGUAGCCUAUAAAAUAUUGAGGGCGGCUUUCAGGUUAGUAGCAAUGUGAAAAUGCACGUAAUCGAAGCGGGCACCAUUAGUUAAGUUUCAUAUUCUAUUCAUAUAAAUAUUUCAGGCUUCUCUCUUUUGCCAUCCUAUGACAUUAGACACCUGCAGAGUAGCAGCAUCUCUUUAAAAUCCUGGAUAAACUAUGACACAGGCCUCCAUGGAAAUGAUUUUCCCUUUAGUGAUGGACUCAUAGGCAUUUUACUUAAAGUAUCAUUUCUCGGCCGGUCACUGUGGCUCACACCUUAACUGCAGCACUUUGGGAGGCUGAGGUGGGAAGAUGGCUUGAGCUCAGGAGUUUGAGAUCACCUUGGGCAACAUGGUGAAACGCGUCUCUACCAAAAAUGUAAAAAUUUUCUGGUCACGGUGAUGCACCCCUGGGGUCCCAGCUACUUUCGGAGGCUGAAGCACGAGGAUGGCUUGAGCCCAGGAGGCGGAAGCUCUAGUGAGCCGAGAUCUCACCACUGCACUCCAGCCACUGCGCUCCACUGGAUCUGAGCAACAGAUCCAGAUCCCAUCUCAAAAAAAAAAAAAUUGUUUUUUUCCUUUUGUUUUAAUUCACACCAUAAAUGUUUCAUCUCCUCCUGCCUGUGCCGGGUGGCAAUGCGGCUCUGACACUCAUCACCGGCUGUCACAUGCUCUGGGCUGCACGGCCACACAGCAGUUAUGAUUUCUGUAGCUUCCCUUCUGGGGGAAUUUGAAUUCUUUUGGAAAUGAUAUUUUUGAGUGUUGAUCUCAGAGUCACUGUGCCCGGUUUUGGAAACGUGGCCGGCUUCUGGGCAAACAUUUAACACAGAGAGUGGCUCUGCCCUGGAAGGAGGCCUGUUGGCAGCACCAGCCGAAAGGAUGCCCCGUGGUCCCUCGUGCCCAGGGCGGGCCCAGCUCUCCUCGGUCCGUGGUCAGUCACACGGGAAACCACACGUGGGCAGGGCUUGUUGGAAACAUGCUUGCGGACGUCCUGGGAGCUGUGAGAGCCUCGGCGAUGACGCGCUUUCGUCCCGCCUUCGUGUCCGCUUCCCUUUAUGGGCUCAUAAGGUCCUGGGAGCUGUGAGAGCCUCGGUGAUGACGCGCUUCCGUCCCGCCUUAGUGUCCGCCUCCCUUUAUGGGCUCAUGAGGCCGUGAGCGCUGUGAGAGCCUCGGUGAUGACGUGCUUCCGUCACGCCUUCUGUCCGCCGAUGAUGCGCUUCCGUCCCGCCUUCGUGUCCGCUUCCCUUUAUGGGCUCAUGAGGCCGUGAGCGCUGUGAGAGCCUCGGUGAUGACGCGCUUCCGUCACGCCUUCUGUCCGCCGAUGACGCGCUUCCGUCCCGCCUUCGUGUCCGCUUCCCUUUAUGGGCUCAUGAGGCCGUGAGCACAGUGAGAGCCUCGGUGAUGACGUACUUCCGUCACGCCUUCUGUCCGCCGAUGACGUGCUUCCGUCCCGCCUUCGUGUCCGCCUCCCUUUAUGGGCUUAUGAGUUUCUGCCUCAACUCCAGGCAUUUUUUUUUCUUUUGCCUCUAGCCCAGUUUUAGAAAGGACUAUGUCUUGGUCCUUCUUAAUGGUAUAAAAGAUAUCCUCAGCCCGCCAGAUGCUCCUGCAUUUGAGUGACGACACGCUUCUCUGGCUGUGACCAACUUUUCUCCCUUUCUUUUUAAAUGACAGGACUUCUUGUUCAAUACUUGCUGGAUAUGAAGAUCCAACCCAGUGCCUCCCAUUGCAUCCACUCCUCACACCACCGUCUCCAUGGCGUGACAGUUCCUCAGUUUUUCUUUGUUGUUCAUGACCUUCACCUUUUGGAAAGGUACUGGCCAGUCACUUUGCAAAAUGUUCCUCAAUUUGUGUUUGCUUGAUGUUUUCUCCUGAUUAAAGUGAUGCAUUUUGGGCAAGAACAUCAUAAAAGCAACGAUGAAUGAUUUUCAACACAUCAUAUCCAGAGGUGUGUGACGUAGAGGUGCCUUAUCCUGGCGAUGUUGCCCAUGAUUGCUUGGCGAGGUCUCCCAGGGUUACAAAGUUACUGUCUCUCCCUCUGUACUUAGUAAAUAACUCCAGGAAGCAGAGAUACUUUGAAAGUAUUUAAAUAUUCUAUUAUAUUUAAACUUUUGCUCACUGAUUUUAGUAUCUCUGGGUAGACUGCCCACAACAGUUCUAGUGUGGUUAUCUAGUUCCCUCAUUUCUUUUACAUUUAAUUGGAAAUUCCAAUAAGGAAGAAUUUCCAAAUUCCACUUGGAAAUUCUCCAUAAGGAAGCUCUGUCCCUUCCACCCAUUAUUUUACUUUAUUUAUUUCCAUGUUGGAAUUUGGAACAUUUAGACUGAUCUUACCAUGAAUUCACGUGGUUCCA
rnacentral:lncRNA from 10 species